ACGUAGGACUCCACUCUCUGUCUUCUCUUCAAAAGCUUAGCUGUUGUUUCCUCUUCUUCUACAAGAUUUAGUUGUUUCAAAUUGCCAACCUCUCUGUCUUCCUCAUAAUUAACAUGACUGUUCUUACGUUCCUGUUUUCAUCUAUUAUAAGUGAAAUGAACCUAAGACAUUCACAGAUACUAAGGGAGUAAUCUUCAAAGGCUAGACCUAACUUGCUUUUAAUUGAAGUUUUUGGCUUUCCUUGACAUAUAUCAAAUGGGACCCUCCCUAGAGGGUGUUUGUGCUUUCAUUGUGACCAAAGAUUAGAAACCAUUCUCUAUUCACUCUCCAAGCCUGCAAUUAACUCCAGUAAACCAAGUGUUGGAAAGACCCGUCUCAAGGAAAAAGGCAUGUUUACUGAUGAAUAUUUGUAUUGGGUUUGUUUUGCAAC